rnacentral:snRNA from 1 species
UUACUCUGUUUUCUGAUCAGAGCGAUAUUUAUCUUUCGCCUUUUACUAAAGAUAACCGUUAAUCAGAAAUCUAUUGAGACUUCUGGAUUCUUUACCUGCUCUACUUUCGUAGAGUG